rnacentral:tRNA from 1 species
GCCUCUUUAGCUCAAAUGGUAGAGCAUCUGUUUUGUAAACAGAGGGUUGCUGGUUCGAUUCCAGUUGGAGGCU